CCGCCAGACAGACUGAAAGUCCCUGGGAAAGUGAAAGGGGGAGGGGGAGGGAGGCCCAAGUUUAAGGUCUCCGACUCUUAAAGAGACAAGACACUUCAGUCUUAGUGCAUCCCCAGCGGUCAGCUCGGGCCCUCGGGCCCUCCCACUCCUCUUCUCUGGGUUUGCACGCCCCGGGGGUAUUUCUCCCAGCACACCCGCCCCUGGGUCUCGGAACGGGAAGCAGCGGCUCCUGCGCGGCCCCUUCCUGACUGUCUGGCCCGGGUUGAGCCUGUCUGCAGCCCUCCCCUCUCUACUACCCCGCCUCCGUCUCCCCACCGAUCUUCGGUCCUUAAGAGGGAGGGGGCUGCUGCAGGUGGAAGAAGAAUACAGCUCCAGAGACUUAACCAACCGUCACACAGCUGGCCGGGACCAGAGUGGUUCUCCCUACUUCCAACACAGAGGUGUUAUUGUUGGUUUUUUCAUUACUCCAUCAGGAUCUUCUCUCAUCUACAGUAGAUGUUAUAUCUAGUAGAUAUUUUAUGCAGCAGAUUGAUUCCUGAAAAAAUUAUGUAAUUUGGUUCUUCUAAAAAUAAAAUUCCAUUUUUUUAAACA
rnacentral:lncRNA from 1 species